rnacentral:rRNA from 1 species
UAUUGGUCAAUGGGCGGUAGCCUGAACCAGCCAAGUCGCGUGAGGGAAGACGGUCCUAUGGAUUGUAAACCUCUUUUGUCAGGGAGCAAUUCCCGCCACGCGUGGCGGGAGGGAGAGUACCUGAAGAACAAGCAUCGGCUAACUCCGUGCCAGCAGCCGCGGUAAUACGGAGGAUGCGAGCGUUAUCCGGAUUUAUUGGGUUUAAAGGGUGCGCAGGCGGAUUUUUAAGUCAGCGGUCAAAUCGUGGGGCUCAACCCCAUCCAGCCGUUGAAACUGGGGAUCUAGAGUGUGCGAGAGGUAUGCGGAAUGCGUGGUGUAGCGGUGAAAUGCAUAGAUAUCACGCAGAACCCCGAUCGCGAAGGCAGCACACCGGUGCACAACUGACGCUCAGGCACGAAAGCGUGGGUAUCGAACAGG